UAGUGGGCAACCUGCCCUGUACUGGGGAAUAAUCAUUGGAAACGAUGACUAAUACCGCAUGUGGUCCUCGGAAGGCAUCUUCUGAGGAAGAAAGGAUUUAUUCGGUACAGGAUGGGCCCGCAUCUGAUUAGCUAGUUGGUGAGAUAACAGCCCACCAAGGCGACGAUCAGUAGCCGACCUGAGAGGGUGAUCGGCCACAUUGGGACUGAGACACGGCCCAA
rnacentral:rRNA from 1 species